AGUCGAGCGGCAGCGCGGGGCAACCUGGCGGCGAGCGGCGAACGGGUGAGUAAUACAUCGGAACGUACCCAGUUGUGGGGGAUAGCCCGGCGAAAGCCGGAUUAAUACCGCAUACGACCUGAGGGUGAAAGUGGGGGAUCGCAAGACCUCAUGCAGUUGGAGCGGCCGAUGGCGGAUUAGCUAGUUGGUGGGGUAAAGGCCUACCAAGGCGACGAUCCGUAGCUGGUCUGAGAGGACGACCAGCCACACUGGAACUGAGACACGGUCCAGACUCCUACGGGAGGCAGCAGUGGGGAAUUUUGGACAAUGGGGGAAACCCUGAUCCAGCCAUUCCGCGUGAGUGAAGAAGGCCUUCGGGUUGUAAAGCUCUUUCGGCAGGAACGAAACGGUGGGCUCUAACAUAGCCUGCUAAUGACGGUACCUGAAGAAGAAGCACCGGCUAACUACGUGCCAGCAGCCGCGGUAAUACGUAGGGUGCGAGCGUUAAUCGGAAUUACUGGGCGUAAAGCGUGCGCAGGCGGUUCGAUAAGACAGAUGUGAAAUCCCCGGGCUUAACCUGGGGACUGCGUUUGUGACUGUCGGACUUGAGUGUGGCAGAGGGGGGUGGAAUUCCACGUGUAGCAGUGAAAUGCGUAGAGAUGUGGAGGAACACCGAUGGCGAAGGCAGCCCCCUGGGUUAACACUGACGCUCAUGCACGAA
rnacentral:rRNA from 1 species